GCCUUCGUGGUGUAACGGUAACACACUCGGCGCGUAUUCGAGAGGUCCAAGUUGGAGUCCUGUCGAGGACA
rnacentral:tRNA from 1 species